rnacentral:rRNA from 1 species
CCUACGGGGGGCAGCAGUGAGGAAUAUUGGUCAAUGGGCGGGAGCCUGAACCAGCCAAGCCGCGUGAGGGAAGAAGGUACAGCGUAUUGUAAACCUCUUUUGUCAGGGAACAAAGGCGGGGACGAGUCCCCGGAUGAGGGUACCUGAAGAAAAAGCAUCGGCUAACUCCGUGCCAGCAGCCGCGGUAAUACGGAGGAUGCGAGCGUUAUCCGGAUUUAUUGGGUUUAAAGGGUGCGGAGGCGGGCUGUUAAGUUAGGGGGUAAAGGCCCGGGCUUAACCCCCGACGUGCCUUUGAUACUGGCGGGCUGGAGUUGGAGAGAAGUAGGCGGAAUUCGUGGUGUAGCGGUGAAAUGCUUAGAUAUCACGAAGAACUCCGAUUGCGAAGGCAGUUCACUGGACUGCAACUGACACUGAGGCUCGAAAGUGUGGGUAUCAAACAGGAUUAGAUACCCCUGUAGUC